rnacentral:rRNA from 1 species
AGUGAACGCUGGCGGUAGGCCUAACACAUGCAAGUCGAACGGCAGCACAGUAAGAGCUUGCUCUUACGGGUGGCGAGUGGCGGACGGGUGAGGAAUACAUCGGAAUCUACUUUUUCGUGGGGGAUAACGUAGGGAAACUUACGCUAAUACCGCAUACGACCUACGGGUGAAAGCAGGGGAUCUUCGGACCUUGCGCGAUUGAAUGAGCCGAUGUCGGAUUAGCUAGUUGGCGGGGUAAAGGCCCACCAAGGCGACGAUCCGUAGCUGGUCUGAGAGGAUGAAUCGGCACACCGGAACUGAGACACGGUCCAGACUCCUAAGGGAGGCAGCAGUGGGGAAUAUUGGACAAUGGGGGCAAGCCUGAUCCAGCCAUACCGCGUGGGUGAAGAAGGCCUUCGGGUUGUAAAGCCCUUUUGUUGGGAAAGAAAAGCAGCAGGUUAAUACCCCGCUGUUCUGACGGUACCCAAAGAAUAAGCACCGGCUAACUUCGUG